GUAAUAACCCCAAAUUUUUUUUUUUAUAUAUAAAAAGGGAUAGAAUAGUCCUUUAAAAUUGAUAUAAGGGGUAAAAUUGGAAGGAAUCAAAAGAUAAUGGUAUAGUUGUAGAUGCAUUGAAGUGGUAAGGGUAAAAUUGGAAGGAAUCAAAAGUUAAUGGCAUAACGGUAGAUAUGUUGAAGUGUUAGGGGCAAAAUGGGAAUUUUUGGUGUGUGAUGUGUCUUAAUUAGGAGGGUUUGGUGGCUCAGACGUGAAACAGAGAGGAGAGGGAGUUCUCAGGCGACAGAGAGGAAGAAAAAAGAAGAAGAGGAAAGAAAAGGAAGAAAGGAAGAGGAAGAAAAAGAAGAAAAAGAAAGGGAAAGAAAUCCCGGUUGCACUUCCAGCUGAAGGAAAAAACGUAGAUCUCCUUCCCCUCUACGCAAGGACCUCGAUUUCCAAAAAGAAAAAGGUAAAUAUCCAUCCCUAUCUAGUCUUUUGAUGACAUUAGGCUAUACAAAGGGUGGAUAUAGUCUAGAGGGGUCGGAUAAGGGUUGUAGAGGUGGUUAAAAGAAGAAGAAUCGGAUUUUGACAAAUUUUUCCGGCACUACGGAAAAACUGUGUCGAA
rnacentral:lncRNA from 1 species